AACGUUCCCCCUCGUUUACUUUGUGAUCGAAAAAAAUAUAUAAAUCUAUAUCUGGAAAAACCCAAUCCCUUAUAAAGGAAAUAAAUGGAACUGCUGGAAGUGUCGAUUGGUUCUGCAGAGCCAACUGUGCUCAAAAUUUCUAUUAAAUAUCUAACGACUUUUGAGCAGAAUUCAUUUGUAAGCAGAACACAGCUGAUUGACCGGUGUGACCGUACUUAGUUUCCUGUUGCCUGGCCACACUCUGUCACUAUAGGUUGAACCAGGAACCACUAACAAUACAGUAUAUAGAUGUGCCAGUUCAUACAGCGAACAUGUCGCACAUCGAACACAUGAAACUGGAUCCCAGGUUCUUCGGCUCUGGCGUUCGGCUACCGCCGCGUCAUCAAGAGCCAAGCAACGCUUUGCAUGUAACUGCAUACAACAAUAGAAUACAACACAAAACUGAUCAACACAAGAAUAUAAAUAAAUAUAAACAAAAUGAGGUUAAUUCAUAGCUUGUUGCCAUUGGUUUUUAAUCAGCUACAGAAAAUCACGGAUGACCGUGACAAAGUGCCACAGCGUGUUCCGUUUCCGUUUCCGAAUUUGACAUUGACUUUGCUUCCAAAACGAAUCCUUGUCUGUCGGUCAUGCUUUGUUUUUUAUGUUUCGAUAAUCUACUCCGCUCAAGUAUCAUUCCAAAAUUGUUUGUUCUGUCCGAGAAAAAUAGCUUGUUCAGCUUGAUAGUUAUAUGAGGUACCUCGCCGUGUGCCUCAGGAAAUUCGUGCAGCAGACGGUAGUAGUGCUCCGUGGCUAUCGGCUCAGUGCUGGCUCUACAAUUGGCAUGGUCCUUGCUUUUCUUUCCAGGAGGAAAUUCUUCUACUGCGCGAGGGCAUAGGACAGAUUCUCAAUAUUCCCUGAGCUCUGCUGUCCGAUGCCCUCACGCAGUACAAGAAUUUCCUCCUCGAGGAGGAAAGCUAGGACCACUCAAAUUGCAAUGCCAGCAGUGGGCCCAUAGCCAUAUGGCGGACCUCGCCGUGUGCCUCAGGAAAUUCGUGCAGCAGACGGUAGUAGUGCUCCGUGGCUAUCGGUUCAGUGCUGGCUCUACAAUUGGUAUGGUCCUUGCUUUUCUUUCCAGGAGGAAAUUCUUCUACUGCGCGAGGGCAUAGGACAGAUUCUCAAUAUUCCCUGAGCUCUGCUGUCCGAUGCCCUCACGCAGUACAAGAAUUUCCUCCUCGAGGAGGAAAGCUAGGACCACUCCAAUUGCAAUGCCAGCAGUGAGCCCAUAGCCACGGAGCCUUACCACCGGCUGUUGGACGAACUGCCUGGGGCAUACGGCAAGGCCCCCCAGAUAAAUCUUAAGCUGAACAAGAUAUUCCUCAAGCGGCUGGACGAGAGCGACUACCUUCAUUCUCAGAGCGGAGAUUCAACGUGUCUCCCACUCCAGCUGCGACUGAUCACUUUCCAAGAAUGGGUGGACUUCCUACUGCACGUCAACAAACUCAUGGUCGGCACUUGAAGAGGAGGCAUUCGGAAAGGUCAUGUCGGUCAAUGGGGAGCAACAACAGACGCUGGACGAGAACCGAAACUUGCCCAAGGACCAAGGACUGCACAAUCAUCAAGUUCCUACAGAAUGCCUUUCACCGGAACAUUUGGGACACGGACAGCUGUUUACUGGAGACCCAACUGUCCACCAGUUCCCGGACAUAUUCUGCGAGCAGCUUCAUCCGAUUCCGGCAGGCCUCCACGGACUGGAUUUGAUGUCUACUGUGCAUAAAGUAUCUUCAGAAUUUGGCUCUCUUGCUCAUCUUUCACAGAGAGUUUAUCCAGAAAGCAAGAAGCCACCAGAACCCCGGCCCUCUCCAUUUCUUCCUUCGGCAUCUUGGAAAACGGCACAGGCUGUGGCACAUUCGCAAGGCAAUCCGUGAUCUUCUGUAGCUGAUUAAAAGCCAAUGGCAACAAGCUAUUAAUUGACCUCA